GCUCUUCAGAUCUCCUCAGUCUAGGGUCUAUGCCUGGACGCUCAGAACACUUGUGUUAGAAGCAAUCUGUGAGUGUUUUUGUGCACUUGUGUGUG